AGCCCAACCAAAAUGCCUCAAAGCCCUUUACGAACUUCUAAAUGAUUCAAGGUUAAGUCAAGGAGAAAAUAGUAGGAUUUAGCAUAAAGAAUCUUGUGAUCAUCACUGUAUUGUCUUCUUGUUAUACUGAUUUUGGAGAUACCCUGGAGGCGGAGAUAAUCGCCAUAGACGUGUGAGAAUUCAGGAAGCGUAACUAGUUCUUCAACAAGACAUGUAAGGCACUUCUUCUCCUUGGCAUGUCUUUAUGUAAGCGCUUUUUUCUGAAUCAUCCAUUUGUGAUAACACUGAAUUGCUUAAGGCCUCUCUUGACAAGGUUGUUCAUGUUCUUGUAUGUUUUUUGUCUGAGGCAUUUUCUCUCCAAUUUGAGAUAUUUCUGGAUGAUAUUUUGAGGUGAUAAAAUGUAAUUCAUUCUGAUUCUGAUCUUCAUAUCUCUUGAAAUCGACCUUGCAUUACACACACACACAUAGGAGCUCUAUAAGCGGCCGAAUACGGCACCUAAUGUGCAGCCAUUGAUUAGUUGGGUAUAAGGAGACAUGAUGUGAAUUAUUCACCGAGCUCUCAUGUGGCCUGUUAUGAUCGAGGCCUUCAUGAGGCCAGGUACGGAAGGAUGUGUUAUGAGAUACUACCGAGAUCUUUCGAGGCCAAAUACGCCAAGUCCUAUUGAGCCCAAACUGGGACCUCUUGAGGCCGUAAAAGCAAAAACCUUUGCCAAGUCCUCUAUGAGGCCGGGAAUGACAUGAGAUGAUAAGUCCCAAAUAGUGGAUAAAUAAUAUUAUAUUAUAUCUAAUGUGUAUUCUUAGUGAGUGGCUUAACCUUUUACAAAACUUGGACACAUUCAUGAUUCAUAAUCACUCCAGUACAUGCCCCCAGUGGCUUAUUUUCGGUGCUCAGGUUGAGUGGCGUAUUCAUGUCUCUUAUGUUAUGUUCUUGGUUUACAUAUAUUAUCAAUGUUACAUAAUCAAUACAUCUUUCGUACUGAUAUCCUUUUCUUUUGGGUGUUGUGUCCAUGCUCACAGGUACAGAUAGACCCGGUGACGUCCCUCCCUAGUAGGGUGUACAUUUCAACGGUUGGUUGCCACACUCCACUUAUUUGAAAUAACUGUACAUAAUUCAAUAAGUACUGGAGUAUGUGUCUUUAUCAUUUUGGGUAUGUGUAUGCGGUGAAAUCCAUAGGGUAAAAUUUUAUAGUCAUUAUGACGCUUCGUGGGCACGCCUCCAAAGGCUCGAGACAAUGGUCUAGGUUUGACCCCGAGAGGUUAUCAACGUUUGACCUCGGGGAAGUACAGAUCGGUAGUUGUGAUGGAAAAAUGGGAAGUUCCCAAGGCACGUGAUUUAGGCUGACCGAGUCUAUUAGGCUAGUAUAAGCCCGUACCGUGGUAUUAAAUGACUAUACCAACCAUAUAUCUAUGUAAUAAAUGCAUUUAUACUAUGUUGGAAUUCCCUCUCAUAUAUAAAGAGGACCCUUGUCAUUUUGUAAAGGAGGAGAAUAUCACACACAACAUUCAAUACAAGAACAUUCCCUGCUCUCUAACACAUUCUCCUUGAUUCUAUUAUUUACAUUUAUUGC
rnacentral:lncRNA from 1 species